CCUACGGGUGGCAGCAGUGGGGAAUAUUUGUCAAUGGCCGGAAGGCUGAACCAGCCAUGCCGCGUGAAGGUCAGUGCCCUAUGGGCGUUAAACUUCUUUUGUGCGGGAGCAAUAAUGGUCACGUGUGGCCAGACGAGAGUACCGUACGCAUAAGCAUCGGCUAACUCCGUGCCAGCAGCCGCGGUAAUAAGGGGGAUGCAAGCGUUAUCCGGAUUUAGUGGGUUUAAAGGGUGCGUAGGCUGUGAGGUAAGUCAGCGGGGAAAUGCCCCCGCUCCACGGGGUGAAGUGCCAUUGAUACUGCCUUGCUGGAAUGCGGAUGCGGUGGGAGGAAUGUGUGGUGUAGCGGUGAAAUGCAUAGAUAUCACACAGAACACCAAUUGCGAAGGCAUCUCACGAAUCCGCGAUUGACGCUGAUGCACGAAAGCGUGGGGAGCAAACAGGAUUAGAUACCCUUGUAGUC
rnacentral:rRNA from 1 species